rnacentral:rRNA from 1 species
UACGUAGGGGGCUAGCGUUGUCCGGAAUCAUUGGGCGUAAAGAGCGCGUAGGCGGCCAGAUAAGUCCGGUGUGAAAGUCAAAGGCUCAACCUUUGAAUGCCGCUGGAAACUGUCUGGCUAGAGUCCGGGAGGGGCGAGUGGAAUUCCUGGUGUAGCGGUGAAAUGCGCAGAUAUCAGGAGGAACACCAAUGGCGAAGGCAGCUCGCUGGAACGGUACUGACGCUGAGGCGCGAAAGCGUGGGGAGCGAUCCGG